rnacentral:lncRNA from 1 species
ACUUCGCGGCUCCAACGCAGGCUCAUAGCUGCAAAGAAGAACCAUGUAGUUGCCGGGAAGUCACGUGAAUUAUUUUUUCUUCUCAGCCUGGAAUGGGCCGGACUAUUUUAUCCUCCGAAAUUACCAUUUCUCAUUUGAGGUUUAGCCAGGGACGGGCGUCGUUUAGUUGCUUGCUUUGGGCACGUUCCGUCUUCCAGGUCCUUGCUGGUGCUUUCAGUGGAAUCUCUGGUCCUCUGAUCUUUGGAAUCUCACAAGUGUGGAGCCUCGUUGGACAUUCCAUUAAAGAAUGAACAAAAAGAAUCUUGGAUUCACAGGCAAGCCUGGGUGGGGAGAAAGGUAGCUGGUAGCAGGAGAGCUGCUACCUUUCUCAGCAAUGGCGGAGCCAUGUUCUCUUGGUAUCACAGCUGCUUUGGUGAGAGAGGGAUGGGGCUCCUCUCCCAUUUGGAGGAGACCUGCAGCAGCUUAUCUUCCUUGCUCACCAGAGAAGGCAAUUCUCUAUUGCUGUUGCCCCUGUGAGAGUCUUUUGAAUGCAACCACACAUCUUGCUCAGUAGCCCAUCAAAAUCUAUUCUGGGGCAUCUCCAGGGUUCACUGAAUUGCGAGUCAGGCCAAGAGUUGGGAGAUCCUGGGUUCAAAUAUGACUUUAGAUACUUCCUAGAUGUGUGACCCUGGGCAGGUCACUUAACCCCCAUUGCCUGGUCCUUACUGCUCCUUUGCCUUAGAACCAACACAUAGUAAUGAUUCAAAGAAGGAAGGUAAUGAUUUUUUAAAAAAGUCUAUCCAUUUAGCACUUGGUUAGCAAAUCUGAAACCAUCACAGCUGGGCUUGUUCUGGAGGCCUCAUGGGGACUGCAAUAGCAUAGCCUACUUGCUCAUAAGGCCUGGGCUCAGUGGCCAGUCCCUAUUAUGAAUGUAAAAAAAUUAAUAACAAAAACAAAAAGGGCAUAUUCAGGCCACGUGACUUCCGAGGAAAGAGGGAUACUACAGGUUCGAGUGGAAGGAAAAGCUUUUCAGAGGGGGAGGGAUUGAAGUUGGACCUUAAAGAAUAGGUAAGAUUUGCAGAGGCACAGUGGAGAGUGAGUGUUCAAGCUGGGAUAACAACAACAAACAUUUAUGUAGUGCCUACUAUGUACCAGGCAUUGUGCUAAGUACUUUACAGAUAUUGCCUCAUUUGAUCCUCACAACCAUCUAGGAGAUAAUUACUUUUGUAGUGCCCAUUUUACAGAUGAGAAACUGAAGCAAAGAGAGGUUAAGUAACUUUCUCAAAGUCACACAACUAAGUGUCUGGGGCUGGAUUUUCAUUCAAGCGUUCCUGAGUCCAGGCCCAGCACUCCAUCUACUGUACCUCAUAGCUGCUGAAGAAGUCAUGGGUUGGGAGGGGGAUACAGUGAGUAAAAUUAUGGGAUCACAAAAGUACAAGGUAAACCGGAGAAUAAAGAUUAGACCCCUUUGGGCA